CAUGCAAGUCAACUGAACUUAAGGUAGCAAUAUUUUAAGGGAGGUGGCGCACGGGUGAGUAACACGUAGGUAAUCUGCCUUUAGGUCUGACACAACUCCGAAAGGUAGGCUAAUAUCAGAUGAUGCAGCGGCUCGACAUCGAGACAGUUGUUAAACCUUCGGGGCCUAAAGAUGAGCCUGCGUCUGAUUAGGUAGUUGGCGGAGUAAUAGCCCACCAAGCCUGCGAUCAGUAGCUGGUCUGAGAGGAUGAUCAGCCACACUGGAACUGAGACACGGUCCAGACUCCUACGGGAGGCAGCAGUAAGGAAUAUUGCUCAAUGGCCGAAAGGCUGAAGCAGCAACGCCGCGUGGAGGACGAAAUACUUUGUAUGUAAACUCCUGUAAGAAGGGAAAAAUAUGCAGUUUUCUGCAUUGAUUGUACCUUCAGAGUAAGCCCCGGCUAACUACGUG
rnacentral:rRNA from 1 species